rnacentral:rRNA from 1 species
GCGAGUGAAGCGGCAAAAGCUCAAAUUUGAAAACCCUCGGGUGUGUCUUUGGGGACGGGUCUUGUCUAUGUUCCUUGGAACAGGACGUCACAGAGGGUGAGAAUCCCGUCUGAUGAGACCUCUGAACCGUGUAAAGGCGCUGUCGACGAGUCGAGUUGUUUGGGAAUGCAGCUCUAAGUGGGUGGUAAAUUCCAUCUAAAGCUAAAUAUUGGCGAGAGACCGAUAGCGAACAAGUACAGUGAUGGAAAGAUGAAAAGAACUUUGAAAAGAGAGUGAAAAAGUACGUGAAAUUGUUGAAAGGGAAGGUUAUUAGAUCAGACUUGGCUGCAUUGUAUAUUGUUUCCCUUGUGGAUUCAUCACUACUAUGUGUGCUGGGCCAGCAUCGAUUCGUGCGGCAGGACAAAAGCCUGGGAAUGUGGCUGCGCCUUUCGGGGCGUAGUGUUAUAGCCC